rnacentral:rRNA from 1 species
CCUACGGGUGGCAGCAGUAGGGAAUAUUGCUCAAUGGGGGAAACCCUGAAGCAGCAACGCCGCGUGGAGGAUGAAGGGGUUCGGAUUGUAAACUCCUUUUGUGAGAGAAGAGAAGGACGGUAGCUAACGAAUAAGCACCGGCUAACUCCGUGCCAGCAGCCGCGGUAAGACGGAGGGUGCAAGCGUUACGCGGAACCACGGGGCGUAAAGAGCGCGUAGGCGGGAUAGCAAGUCAGAUGUGAAAUCCUAUGGCUUAACCAUAGAACUGCAUUUGAAACUGUUAUUCUCGAGUAUGGGAGAGGUAGGUGUCAUUCUUGGUGUAGGGGUCAACUCCGUAGAGAU